GCUUCUGUGGCUCAGUGGUAGAGUGCUUGCCUUGCGAACAUGAAGCCCUGGGUUCGAUUCCUCAGUACCA
rfam:Dipodomys ordii contig_26970, whole genome shotgun sequence.